CCUACGGGAGGCAGCAGUGGGGAAUCUUGCGCAAUGGGCGAAAGCCUGACGCAGCCAUGCCGCGUGAAUGAUGAAGGUCUUAGGAUUGUAAAAUUCUUUCACCGGGGACGAUAAUGACGGUACCCGGAGAAGAAGCCCCGGCUAACUUCGUGCCAGCAGCCGCGGUAAUACGAAGGGGGCUAGCGUUGCUCGGAAUUACUGGGCGUAAAGGGAGCGUAGGCGGAUAGUUUAGUCAGAGGUGAAAGCCCAGGGCUCAACCUUGGAAUUGCCUUUGAUACUGGCUAUCUUGAGUGUGGGAGAGGUAUGUGGAACUCCGAGUGUAGAGGUGAAAUUCGUAGAUAUUCGGAAGAACACCAGUGGCGAAGGCGACAUACUGGCCCACUACUGACGCUGAGGCUCGAAAGCGUGGGGAGCAAACAGGAUUAGAUACCCUGGUAGUCCACGCUGUAAACGAUGAGUGCUAGUUGUCGGCAGGCAUGCUCGUCGGUGACGCAGCUACGACAUAAGACACUCCGCCGUCGGGGAGGUACGGUCGGCGAACGAAGUUAAAACGUUAAAAGGUAAAGUUAGUUACGGUCGUUGAGACGUUGCCGACGGACGACGACGAGGGAGGAGG
rnacentral:rRNA from 1 species